rnacentral:rRNA from 1 species
GACGAACGCUGGCGGCGUGCUUAACACAUGCAAGUCGAACGGACAGGCCCUGCUUUUGUUGGGUGCUCGAGUGGCGAACGGGUGAGUAACACGUGAGUAACCUGCCCUUGACUUUGGGAUAACUUCAGGAAACUGGGGCUAAUACCGGAUAGGAGCUCCUGCUGCAUGGUGGGGGUUGGAAAGUUUCGGCGGUUGGGGAUGGACUCGCAGCUUAUCAGCUUGUUGGUGAGGUAGUGGCUUACCAAGGCUUUGACGGGUAGCCGGCCUGGGAGGGUGACCAGCGACAAUGGGACUGAGGUACGGCCCAGACUCCUACGGGAGGCAGCAGUCGGGAGUAUUGCGGAGUGGGCGGAAGCCUGAGACGGCGACGCCGCGAGCGUGAUGACGGCCUUCGGGGUGUAAACCGCUGUGUCCGGUGACGAAGCGUGAGUGACGGUAAUGGGUAAAGAAGCACCGGCUAACUACGUG